AAGUCAGAUGUAGAAACGGCCCGGGGCUACAACCUACGGAAUAGCUAUUUAGAAACUGGCAGACUAGAGUACUGUAGAGGGGGUAGAAUUUCAGGUGUAGCGGUGAAAUGCGUAGAGAUCUGAAGGAAUACCGGUGGCGAAGGCGGCCCCCUGGACAGAUACUGACACUCAGAUGCGAAAGCGUGGGGAGCAAACAGGAUUAGAUACCCUGGUAG
rnacentral:rRNA from 1 species